GGAGAAUUAGGGUUCGAUUCCG
rnacentral:siRNA from 1 species